UUUACUCAAAAUGUGAUUAGUGAAACUCUGAGAAUGGCAAACAUAAUCAAUGGGGUCUGGAGAAAAGCUCUCAAGGAUGUUCAAAACUUCAAAUCAAAGGUUACUUGAUACCUAAGGG